rnacentral:tRNA from 1 species
GGCGACAUGGCCAAGUGGUAAGGCAGAGGUCUGCAAAACCUUUAUUCUCCGGUUCAAAUCCGGAUGUCGCCU